AAAUUGAAGAGUUUGAUCAUGGCUCAGAUUGAACGCUGGCGGCAGGCCUAACACAUGCAAGUCGAACGGUAACAGGAAGCAGCUUGCUGCUUUGCUGACGAGUGGCGGACGGGUGAGUAAUGUCUGGGAAACUGCCUGAUGGAGGGGAUAACUACUGGAAACGGUAGCUAAUACCGCAUAACGUCGCAAGACCAAAGAGGGGGACCUUCGGGCCUCUUGCCAUCGGAUGUGCCCAGAUGGGAUUAGCUAGUAGGUGGGGGUCGCAAGACCAAAGAGGGGGACCUUCGGGCCUCUUGCCAUCGGAUGUGCCCAGAUGGGAUUAGCUAGUAGGUGGGGUAACGGCUCACCUAGGCGACGAUCCCUAGCUGGUCUGAGAGGAUGACCAGCCACACUGGAACUGAGACACGGUCCAGACUCCUACGGGAGGCAGCAGUGGGGAAUAUUGCACAAUGGGCGCAAGCCUGAUGCAGCCAUGCCGCGUGUAUGAAGAAGGCCUUCGGGUUGUAAAGUACUUUCAGCGGGGAGGAAGGGAGUAAAGUUAAUACCUUUGCUCAUUGACGUUACCCGCAGAAGAAGCACCGGCUAACUCCGUGCCAGCAGCCGCGGUAAUACGGAGGGUGCAAGCGUUAAUCGGAAUUACUGGGCGUAAAGCGCACGCAGGCGGUUUGUUAAGUCAGAUGUGAAAUCCCCGGGCUCAACCUGGGAACUGCAUCUGAUACUGGCAAGCUUGAGUCUCGUAGAGGGGGGUAGAAUUCCAGGUGUAGCGGUGAAAUGCGUAGAGAUCUGGAGGAAUACCGGUGGCGAAGGCGGCCCCCUGGACGAAGACUGACGCUCAGGUGCGAAAGCGUGGGGAGCAAACAGGAUUAGAUACCCUGGUAGUCCACGCCGUAAACGAUGUCGACUUGGAGGUUGUGCCCUUGAGGCGUGGCUUCCGGAGCUAACGCGUUAAGUCGACCGCCUGGGGAGUACGGCCGCAAGGUUAAAACUCAAAUGAAUUGACGGGGGCCCGCACAAGCGGUGGAGCAUGUGGUUUAAUUCGAUGCAACGCGAAGAACCUUACCUGGUCUUGACAUCCACAGAACCUUGUAGAGAUACGAGGGUGCCUUCGGGAACUGUGAGACAGGUGCUGCAUGGCUGUCGUCAGCUCGUGUUGUGAAAUGUUGGGUUAAGUCCCGCAACGAGCGCAACCCUUAUCCUUUGUUGCCAGCGGUCCGGCCGGGAACUCAAAGGAGACUGCCAGUGAUAAACUGGAGGAAGGUGGGGAUGACGUCAAGUCAUCAUGGCCCUUACGACCAGGGCUACACACGUGCUACAAUGGCGCAUACAAAGAGAAGCGACCUCGCGAGAGCAAGCGGACCUCAUAAAGUGCGUCGUAGUCCGGAUUGGAGUCUGCAACUCGACUCCAUGAAGUCGGAAUCGCUAGUAAUCGUGGAUCAGAAUGCCACGGUGAAUACGUUCCCGGGCCUUGUACACACCGCCCGUCACACCAUGGGAGUGGGUUGCAAAAGAAGUAGGUAGCUUAACCUUCGGGAGGGCGCUUACCACUUUGUGAUUCAUGACUGGGGUGAAGUCGUAACAAGGUAACCGUAGGGGAACCUGCGGUUGGAUCACCUCCUUA
rnacentral:rRNA from 1 species